rnacentral:rRNA from 1 species
GAAUAUUGCGCAAUGGGGGAAACCCUGACGCAGCAACGCCGCGUGAGUGAGGAAGGUCUUAGGAUUGUAAAACUCUUUUAUUUGGGAAAAAUGACCAUAUGGCUAAUAUCCAUGUGGAGUGAUGGUACCAAAGGAAUAAGCACCGGCUAACUUCGUGCCCGCAGCCGCGGUAAUACGAAGGGUGCAAGCGUUGUUCGGAAUCAUUGGGCGUAAAGCGCGCGCAGGCGGAUCAGCAAGUCAGAUGUGAAAUCUCGAAGCUCAACUUCGAAACUGCGUCUGAAACUGCUAGUCUAGAAUGUCGGAGGGGGCAGGGGAAUUUCACGUGUAGGGGUAAAAUCCGUAGAGAUGUGAAGGAACACCGGAGGCGAAGGCGCCUGCCUGGACGACUAUUGACGCUGAGGCGCGAAAGCGUGGGGAGCAAACAGG